UACAGAGGUCUCAAGCGUUGUUCGGAUUUACUGGGCGUAAAGGGCUCGUAGGCGGCCAACUAAGUCAGACGUGAAAUCCCUCGGCUUAACCGGGGAACUGCGUCUGAUACUGGAUGGCUUGAGUUCGGGAGAGGGAUGCGGAAUUCCAGGUGUAGCGGUGAAAUGCGUAGAUAUCUGGAGGAACACCGGUGGCGAAGGCGGCAUCCUGGACCGACACUGACGCUGAGGAGCGAAAGCCAGGGGAGCAAACGGG
rnacentral:rRNA from 1 species